GAUAAAACGUAGAAGAGGGAAAGUAAGACUAAUAUGUUUACACAGAGAGAACUACAUUUGCUGAAAGUAGUUUUGGACAAUUAAUCUGAAGUGCUCCUCAGAGUCUGUGAUGGAAAUAUAUAGUACAUCAUAGCGGGAACUCUGCCGUUAUAAGAGUCAAAGUUGAGAGAAGCAAAUGCUAAUGAGUUUCUCUAAACAGAGUGGAACCGCGCGAGAGGCGUCUCUGUG
rnacentral:ncRNA from 1 species